GACGAACGCUGGCGGCGUGCCUAAUACAUGCAAGUAGAACGAAGUUGCGAACGGGUGAGUAACGCGUAGGUAACUGCCUGGUAGCGGGGUAUAACUAAUGGAAACGAUAGCUAAUACCGCAUACUACCAGAUGGACCUGCGUUGUAUUAGCUAGUUGGGGGGGUAACGGCUAACCAAGGCAACGAUAAAUAGCCGACCUGAGAGGGGGCGCGGGCACACUGGGACUUAGAAACGGCCCAGACUCGUACGGGAGGCAGCAGUAGGGAAUCGUCGGCGAUGGACGGAAGUCUGACCGAGCACAGCCGCGUGAGUGAAGAAGGUUGUCGGAUCGUAAAGCUCUGUUGUAAGAGAAGCGGUAUCUUACCAGAAAGGGACGGCUAACUACGUGCCAGCAGCCGCGGUAAUAC
rnacentral:rRNA from 1 species